rnacentral:misc_RNA from 1 species
UAUCUCCUCUCUUUUUUCUUUUUUUUUUUCUUUUUAUUUGCGUGUCCAAUUCAAAUAUAAUCUUGUGUUCAUGGGUUGAUGGGCUUUUCUUAAUAAUUAAAGAAUAAACUGAUAAAUAUCUACGAGGGGAUGCUUGUGUGGGUCAAAUAUUACAAGCUCAGCUUCUGGGAUUCUUCCAGAUCUUUCUGGGGGUUUAAAUUUGUGGGCUUGAAUUACAUACCUUUGUUUUCCUCAUAAAAAGGUCUCCCUUCUUGAAAUUUUUUGUCGAAACUGUCUUCUUGAAUUUAUAUUUAUAUUUUGUGGUGCUCUGCUAUUUAGAGAUUCUGAGUUAAUUAUCUGUUUUAUUCAUUUGGUAAGAACUACUCUAGACUUUGUUUGUUUAUUUUCUUUAGUUGCAAUCUCCAAAAUUGUUUUCUUCUUGAAAUGAAAAUUCAUGCUAC